ensembl:lncRNA
UCUCUAUGGCUUUAACAAAACCAUUGUGGCUGUGGCAGGAGGAAGCUGAAGCUUCCCCUCCUGCUGAGGAGCCAGUCUUGAGUUUGAGCUUGUAGUGUUCAAAUGUGUGCCUGAGGAACAUCGGAGGACUCCUCAGAGAGCUGCCCACUACCCUAACUCCUCCCACCGCUGCCCCUCAGGAGUGGUUAGGUGAAGUCCUUCCUGAGACGCUUGUGUUUUACUGAGGAGCUCUUCGGAGGUCUUCUGUGUGCAGUUUGCAGCACUCCAUGGUUGACAAAUGUGAGGAAUGUUCUGCAGGUACUGGAGCUCCAUGAUUUCUAUCAAAAGCUAAUUUAUGCAUCUGAGAGGGCAACGGCACUUUUCCCCUUCACAUGCCCCAUGCCUGUUCACGCAUGGUCUCCAUCCAGGGAGAAGGGGAUGAUCCCAAAGUGCUUGUCAUUCCGUGCAGUAGAGGUUCUGUCAUGUGAUAUUACUCCACACAAGAGGAAAGCCAGAGCAGCUUUACGCCACUGGAAAAUGCUGAGCUUUGGCAGGGGGAGCUUGGAGUCAGGAGGUGUCUGAGCACAGGGCAGUCCCGUCACUGGAGCUUCAUCCAUGCUCCUGCUUCUGCAGCAGGUAAGUGGGCAGUGACGGGACAAUGAGGGAAAUCUUUGAUAUGCAUGCACUCACCAGGCAGUGUGCUGCGGGCAGCAUAGACUAGUAGGUGACUUGUGGGAAUGACAGCAGGAUCUGUCUGCAAGUCCUUAACAAGGCUGACCAGUCAAUACUGCAUGUAGACACCUGGUUUGGCCAAUGCUGAAAGGUAAAAGGUGAAACUUUCUUGUGCUUUUCUGUUAGACAUAGAGAACAGGCUGGGCUUGUGUUUGGAUGCUGGAUAUAUUUGAGUCUAAAAGUGGAUUUUGGACAACUUGUGAAAUGCUGGACAGACAAAACCUUGUUUCUGUUGCAUGAGUAGCUUGAUUAACACAUACUUCUUUUCCUAACAAAUCAGCCUCCUGCCUCCGAGAGAGCAGGUAAGAAGUGAAAAUAUUAGCCUUUAAGUGGUCGGAACAAGCUGGAAGUAAAAUGACUAAGAUGACAAAUGUGGAUCCAGAUCUGUCAGAGCUCACAAAAGACCCAGAACCAAUCAAUAUGAUUUCCUCAGCCAUAAAUACUCAAGUCAUACAAAUGUAUAAUGCAUCCAACUCUCUCUAACGUGUAUGUGCAGCCUCCAUGCUGGGACUGGACUCCAGGCUUGAAGUUUAGUCAGUAGCCACUGCAUUUCUGGUUCUUUAGCAAUUGCAAAAGAAGAGCUCAAUAGCACCAGGCUGAAUUAUAAUUUUUUUCUGGGAAAGAAAAAGAGAGGAAAAAAAAAAAAACUAUCCAGACCAGUAGAAAGCCUUUUGGAAAAAAGGAUUAUUUUGUUAAGGAAAGAUGUAAAAAGAUCAGAUAUGAUUUUUCUUCAUGAGUGGAAGUGGAAAUUAUGUGUGUAACAGUACAGUUUGAGAAGGUUCAUUAAGGUAGGAGGGUUAUAUGAGAAUGGCCUGAAGGGAAUUGAUGGGUAGAAUAUGAAGUACAUGGAGAAAUCAAAAAUGAGAAAAAUCAACAUAAAACUGUAAGCACACUGUGUGGGUAUAAUGCUGUGGUAGAAUGAAGCAGACUUUGCAGAUGUCUUUGGUGUUGUUUUUUUUCUUUUUGUUGGUUGGUUGUUUCUUUGCCUAGUUUUAGAGACUUUAAUUGUGGGUUAUGCCGUUUUCUUCCCUUGCCAUUUCUGGAGGCUGCAUCAGCCAUCCCUUCUGGUAGCGUUGUUUACAAGAACUUUUGCGACCUUUCCAUUCUGUGCCUUUAUUUUUGCCACACCUGGUGUAGUGAUGCCAUAGGACAUUUUAAGUAUGAAUUGAUAUUCCUUGUGGUAUGUCCUCAGGCCUGUUAUGCUUAGGUUAUUUGUGUUACCUGUUCAAACACCCACGUGUAGCGUGGUUAUUUUCAUUUGUGACUGAGAGCUGGCUGCGCAGUGGGCGCCACAUGAAUAUGUUAAGAACUUCCAUUGAUUUCUUUAGCUACAAAUAAUCAUUAGAGUAGGAAAACAAACAGUGGAUCAAAAAUGUGGGAAUGUAGUCCAAAGGAUGCUGCUCACUUUUCCUUGUGAAAUGCAUGACAUGCAGGUUUGAGGUAUAGCAUACGAACUACUGAAAGGUAUUAAUCAAGACAAAAAGCAUAAUAUAUCAUUAAGCAAGGAAGAAAUAAGCUAUGUGUUUGGCUCUUAAAAAACAAAAACAAACAAACAAAAAAAAAAGAAUGAGAUAAAGGUACAGGCAGCUAUAGGAAGUUGUCUGUUUUGUGUAAUUCCUCAGCACCAACGUAGCACUCAACAAAUCCCCUACUGUAGUUUUGACUAAACACCAAUU